rnacentral:rRNA from 1 species
ACCUCAGUAACGGCGAGUGAAGCGGUAACAGCUCAAAUUUGAAAUCUGGGUCUUUCAGGCUCCGAGUUGUAAUUUGUAGAAGAUGCUUCGGGUGCGGCUCCGGUCUAAGUUCCUUGGAACAGGACGUCAUAGAGGGUGAGAAUCCCGUAUGUGAUCGGCCGCUUGCGCCCAUGUGAAGCUCUUUCGACGAGUCGAGUUGUUUGGGAAUGCAGCUCCAAAUGGGUGGUAUAUUUCAUCUAAAGCUAAAUAUUGGCCAGAGACCGAUAGCGCACAAGUAGAGUGAUCGAAAGAUGAAAAGCACUUUGGAAAGAGAGUUAAACAGUACGUGAAAUUGUUGAAAGGGAAGCGCUUGCAACCAGACUUGCGUGUUGUUGAUCAUCCGGGGUUCUCCCCGGUGCACUCGACCUCACUCAGGCCAGCAUCGGUUUCGGUGGUUGGAUAAAGGCCUUGGGAAUGUAGCUCCUCUCGGGGAGUGUUAUAGCCCUCGGUGCAAUGCAGCCUACCGGGACCGAGGACCGCGCUUCGGCUAGGAUGCUGGCGUAAUGGUUGUAAGCGACCCGUCUUGAAACACGGACCAAGGAGUCUAACAUCUAUGCGAGUGUUUGGGUGUCAAACCCAUACGCGUAAUGAAAGUGAACGGAGGUGAGAACCCUUAAGGGUGCAUCAUCGACCGAUCCUGAUGUCUUCGGAUGGAUUUGAGUAAGAGCAUAGCUGUUGGGACCCGAAAGAUGGUGAACUAUGCCUGAAUAGGGUGAAGCCAGAGGAAACUCUGGUGGAGGCUCGCAGCGGUUCUGACGUGCAAAUCGAUCGUCAAAUUUGGGUAUAGGGGCGAAAGACUAAUCGAACCAUCUAGUAGCUGGUUCCUGCC